AUACCGGCAGCACGAGUGAUGACCGCUCUUAUUGGGCCUAAAGCGUCCGUAGCUGGCCACGCAAGUCUAUCGGGAAAUCCGCGCGCUCAACGCGCGGGCGUCCGGUGGAAACUGUGUGGCUUGGGACCGGAAGAUCCAGAGGGUACGUCUGGGGUAGGAGUGAAAUCCCGUAAUCCUGGACGGACCACCGGUGGCGAAAGCGCUCUGGAAAGACGGAUCCGACGGUGAGGGACGAAAGCUCGGGUCACGAACCGGAUUAGAUACCCGGGUAGUCCGAGCUGUAAACGAUGUCUGCUAGGUGUGCCACAGGCUACGAGCCUGUGGUGUGCCGUAGGGAAGCCGUGAAGCAGACCGCCUGGGAAGUACGUCCGCAAGGAUGAA
rnacentral:rRNA from 2 species